GGGGAACCCUGAUCCAGCCAUGCCGCGUGUGUGAAGAAGGCCUUUUGGUUGUAAAGCACUUUAAGCGAGGAGGAGGCUUACCUAGUUAAUACCUGGGAUAAGUGGACGUUACUCGCAGAAUAAGCACCGGCUAACUCUGUGCCAGCAGCCGCGGUAAUACAGAGGGUGCGAGCGUUAAUCGGAUUUACUGGGCGUAAAGCGUGCGUAGGCGGCUUUUUAAGUCGGAUGUGAAAUCCCCGAGCUUAACUUGGGAAUUGCAUUCGAUACUGGGAAGCUAGAGUAUGGGAGAGGAUGGUAGAAUUCCAGGUGUAGCGGUGAAAUGCGUAGAGAUCUGGAGGAAUACCGAUGGCGAAGGCAGCCAUCUGGCCUAAUACUGACGCUGAGGUACGAAAGCAUGGGGAGCAAACAGGAUUAGAUACCCUGGUAGUCCAUGCCGUAAACGAUGUCUACUAGCCGUUGGGGCCUUUGAGGCUUUAGUGGCGCAGCUAACGCGAUAAGUAGACCGCCUGGGGAGUACGGUCG
rnacentral:rRNA from 1 species